AUGAGUUAGGGUCCUCCGGGCCCGACCUCCAACCCUUUGUUUAACUACCAUGUUGCUUUGGCGGGCCCGUCUUUAACCGGACCGUCGGGGGUUCUAAACCUCUUGGCCAGUGCCCGUCAGUAGCCUACUACAAAUACUUCUUAACCAUGUUAUAUCUGAAAAAUAGUUAAAUAAACUA
rnacentral:misc_RNA from 1 species